GGGAGGAAUAAAAGGACGGCUAACUCCGUGCCAGCAGCCGCGGUAAUACGGGGGAUGCAAGCGUUAUCCGGAAUCAUUGGGCGUAAAGCGCCUGUAGGUUGUUUAGUAAGUCCAUUGUUAAAGACCAGGGCUUAACCCUGGGAAAGCAAUAGAAACUACUAGACUUGAGUAUGGCAGGGGUAGAGGGAAUUUCUAGUGUAGCGGUGAAAUGCGUAGAUAUUAGAAAGAACACCGGUGGCGAAAGCGCUCUACUGGACCAUUACUGACACUGAGAGGCGAAAGCUAGGGUAGCAAAAGGGAUUAGAUACCCCUGUAGUCCUAGCCGUAAACGAUGGAUACUAGGUGUUGUGCAGUUCGUACAGUAUCUUAGCUAACGCGUUAAGUAUCCCGCCUGGGGAGUACGCUCGCAAGGGAAAGCCCUCAAAGGAUUGUCGGCUCGGAUGAAGUGAGACUUUU
rnacentral:rRNA from 1 species